rnacentral:lncRNA from 1 species
UGAGAUUACAGGUGUGAGCCACCGUGCCUGGUCUGACCUGUGCUUUUCACCUUCUCUGCACACCUGUGUGCCCUUUCUACAUGGGGCCUCAACUCCAGACCCCGCAAACAACAACUAACAUGAGGACAACUGCUGGGAAGAGGCUGAAGCAAUUGCAGCAUGAUCACACAAGUGAUAACCACCAAGCCAAAGGGACAGGAAGCUCUCGGCAUUGUUGGUGUUUUACUCAAGCCAUGGGACACAAGCUCUGCCAAAGAUAUGCAGGAG